rnacentral:rRNA from 1 species
UGGAUCCAGACCUUUAUCAUGGCUCAGGACGAACGCUGGCGGCGUGCCUAAUACAUGCAAGUCGAGCGAGCUUGCCUAGAUGAUUUUAGUGCUUGCACUAAAUGGAACUAGAUACAAGCGAGCGGCGGACGGGUGAGUAACACGUGGGUAACCUGCCCAAGAGACUGGGAUAACACCUGGAAACAGAUGCUAAUACCGGAUAACAACACUAGACGCAUGUCUAGAGUUUGAAAGAUGGUUCUGCUAUCACUCUUGGAUGGACCUGCGGUGCAUUAGCUAGUUGGUAAGGUAACGGCUUACCAAGGCAAUGAUGCAUAACCGAGUUGAGAGACUGAUCGGCCACAUUGGGACUGAGACACGGCCCAAACUCCUACGGGAGGCAGCAGUAGGGAAUCUUCCACAAUGGACGAAAGUCUGAUGGAGCAACGCCGCGUGAGUGAAGGAGGGUUUCGGCUCGUAAAGCUCUGUUGGUAGUGAAGAAAGAUGGAGGUAGUAACUGGCCUUUAUUUGACGGUAAUUACUUAGAAAGUCACGGCUAACUACGUGCCAGCAGCCGCGGUAAUACGUAGGUGGCAAGCGUUGUCCGGAUUUAUUGGGCGUAAAGCGAGUGCAGGCGGUUCAAUAAGUCUGAUGUGAAAGCCUUCGGCUCAACCGGAGAAUUGCAUCAGAAACUGUUGAACUUGAGUGCAGAAGAGGAGAGUGGAACUCCAUGUGUAGCGGUGGAAUGCGUAGAUAUAUGGAAGAACACCAGUGGCGAAGGCGGCUCUCUGGUCUGCAACUGACGCUGAGGCUCGAAAGCAUGGGUAGCGAACAGGAUUAGAUCCCCUGGUAGUCCAUGCCGUAAACGAUGAGUGCUAAGUGUUGGGAGGUUUCCGCCUCUCAGUGCUGCGGCUAACGCAUUAAGCACUCCGCCUGGGGAGUACGACCGCAAGGUUGCAACUCAAAUGAAUUGACGGA